rnacentral:rRNA from 2 species
UGAACUUAAGCAUAUCAA